ensembl:lncRNA
UCGUAACACUGCACAACAUAGUUUCAGCCUCCAUCCAAUCACGAUGAGGAAAUGUUUAGUACAGCUGCAAAUUGCAGGGUUCUUGAACAGCAACAAUGCCAUCCAGUGUCCACAGAGAUAAUUGCUAGUUAAGAAAUACGUCCCAAUAUGUUUCAUAUAGAUAUUAGAUAUUACAUAUAGAUAUUAUUGUAGUAUGGUUGUAAAGCCAAUUUACACAGCUUGGGAGUUUCUUUACUGAAGUCAACCAAUUAAAGAAUUUAGGUCCACAACAACACAAAUACACAAAAAAGUGAAUGUAAUUUCAUCCGCUUCUCUUGAUAAUACGUAAGGGGUGAAUAUAUUACAGACUAGGCUGUCAUAACAGAAUAUCCAGCACAUUCAAAGCAAUUCUCAAAAAAAAACGAAAUGUGGGGGAAAAAAUGAAAUUUUAAAUUCUACGAGACAAAACCAAAGUCUAUUUCUGCUAAUGCAUUUAGAGCAGAGCAGCAGAGGUAUCAGUGUGUGCAGACCUGGGUUUAUAUGAGCUCUCCUGGUGAACACCAGGCCAUGGGAGACUUCACAGCGGUCAGUCCAGAAACCUCUGACCUUCGGGCGAGACUCACACUCCCUCUCCCUCUUCAUCAGUCAGGUUGAUGUGCUGCUCUUCUCUUAGGAACAUCUGGCUUCACAAUCAAACCGUUAGACACAGGAGCAGCCCUCCAUAACAACCGCUAAUGUCUAAUGUUCAUAGGUUCCUUUGUAGAUGCCUUAUGAUAUGACAUGAUGCAAAACAAAAGCUUACUACAAUGCAGCGGCUUGGCCCAUGAUGAGUAACUUUCAUAUUUGUGCACAUACUUGCUUUUUAUUUAAUCCAUCAACCAUAUAUUCAUUGUGAGUGUCUUUACCCACAUUCUAGACACAGCCCAUCCAUCACUUCUCGUUUAGCGGUAAUGUGAACAUCUGCGGCGCUGAUCGUGUCUGGUACGGAGGUACGGCGUCGCCUCCAUGUGCACUUUACCUCUUCCGUCUAUCUGCCCCGUCAGUCGCAACAUGGAUCCCAGCGCCUGUUCUCCGAACGUCUGAACGACAUCAAAGCAGCCCUCCUGUGAGUAACGCCACCUGUGGUUAUAGAGAGCUGACAUUACUUUACUGCCUGGUUUUAUCACUCCCAUCAAAAUGUGAACGGAGAGAUAUCAGGACCCUCAGAAUGCAAUAAAUCACAAAGAAACUGAACAGCGAGUCUGGCAGCAGCGGUAGCAGCUACAGUACCAUCAAUGAAAUGAUCUCUACACAGAUUUAGAGUCCUCCUUGGACAGUGUAAAUCAUUUUCUUCAAAGUUGAAUGAUGUUUUUAUAAAAGUUAAACCUUCACUGGAGUUCACAAAUGUCACGGUGUGAAUCACGUCCUGUCUUAUUUUGUAGUUUUCUGCCACUCGUGUCCCUGGGUAACUUCAUUUCCUGCCUUGUCCUGUCAUCCCCUGUGAUCGUCUAAUAGUUUCCACCUGUGUCCAAUCACCUGCACCUCCCUAAUGUAUUUAAGUGUAGUGUAUUUAUUCAUUGUCUAUCGUCCUGGAUGUUCGUUAGUUCUUUUCUGCCGGUUUGCCUCCUGUUCCUGUGUGUUUUUGCCGUUGGCCUUUUGCUUUUGCCUUUUUUUGACUAUGAAAGUCUUUUUGUUUAAGACGUCGGCGUUUGAGUCCUGCCAUCCCCGCAACCCCUGACAACAAAACCUUGGAUGAAUACAUUUAUACAUUAUUAUAAAAAUGUUUGGAUGUUGAUGGUUUUUCUUUCAUCAAUACUGAAUACGAUAACAGAGACAAGAAAAGCUCAAUUUAGAUACCAAAUCUAUAAUUUCCAUUCCCUAUAUAUACCACCAAAUGCAUCGGUGUCACUAGAUCAAUAUUGAAUCACAAUGGUGUUUGCAUCCGCUGAUGCUACGGCUUAACCAACCCUCUAUUUUUAAUAAUGAUUGUUCAUACAACUUUAAUCUGCAUUAUCCUUUCAAAAUCUGCACAAAAAUCUGCCAAACCUCCAGCUUCUUUUUCUUUUUCUUUUUUGAUUUAUAGGUUUCGUUAUUUGUCAUGGCUUAACUAAACUAACUGAAGUAAUGCUUAUCAGGAAAAAGGCAGAUCUUAUUGCCUUGGGAAUGUUUGAUAAACAGUGAGGUCUUGAGUGAGAACCUUUUAACAUCUACUACUGGCCACUUUUCAUUUGUUAUUCAUUUCAAGAAGGUCAUUAGAGACAGCUUGAGAUGUUAAGGUAACAUCGAGUAGCCCCAGCUUACAAAAGUAACAAACGUAGAAUGUCGGCUAUUAUUUAUCAUCUAUUGAAGGAUAAAUGUUCACUAAAAUAUUUCGUCAGAGUGAUAUACAAGCUCUAGUAAUAAGAGCUCUGGGAAGGUCGGUGCGUGAUAUCCGUGUGCAGGCCGACUGUGUGUAAACCCCAUGUAGAUGCAGUCAAUGGUAACAGACACAUACGUGUGUAGCUGCUAAGUCUGACUUAAAAACACGUUCUUUUUUUGACAGUUGGGUGGAUGAAUGAAUGUGUUGCUCAGCACAUGUGACACUGGCGUACGACUAGCAUUUCAAAGUAUUUGUAUCCGCGUCAGCUCGCCGUCACACACCAUCGCUGAUACGGCCACUGUUCUGUUUUACGCAUCGAUGGAAGGACGAGGAACUGUUGUGGUAUCCACUGGCCUCGCAUCGGCUCCCCAAGAAUAAUAUUAUUCAAAUUCUGACUUGGCCCUUUCAGCUGGAUUUAAUACCAGCAGCAACAGUGUGGUUUGUGAGUCUGUGUGUGGGUGUGUGUGUGUGUGUGUGUGUGUCAUCACGGCAAAAGACGUCCCUGGAGACACCUACACCAGCGGGAAGCACCACGCUGGUGCUUCCAAAUCACAGGAGAUCUAAGUGCUGAUCUCCACGCCGCCCGCUCAAAUACUAGACAGACAAAUGCUCCACGCCCUCCUUUUGGCUGCAUCCUUCUCAAUAUUAACGUUUCUCUACCCGUGUCGUGAUGUGGAGGGACGAGCCUUCUAUCUUCCUGUGGAUCACAUCCAAUCAACAUAAGGAAUGUCACCAUUCAGAUGAUUCUUUGAGAAGUGUAAAUGGACUAAAGCUCAUGUCACAAUCCUUCGUUUUCACGGCAUAAAAUGGAUUUGAAUCCGAGUAAAUCCUUAAUUUUGAUAUAAAACUAAACAUAUACAAUACAAUACAUAUACAUAGAAGCUCCUUGACCUUUGAUUUGUGUUUUAGUGUUUGCUACUUGAUGAUCAUGGAUCAAAUGUUCUACUCCACUCUCAUGUCGCUCUGCAUUAAGGUGCAAUUUGAAUGACUUAACUAUUAAUUCCUUUCCCUUUCUUUUUUUUAUUUAGCCUCAAAGAAGUCGCGUGGGGCCAGCAGAGGGAGCUGAUAUCCAAGAAUUAUGACACCUCAAAACUCAACUCAACGGUGUUCUUUCCUGCUCGUCACAGUUCUCCUCAGUUCGCCCGAAUAGACUCGACGUCGGCUGCGCACCUUUCUGUUCAGUAUUGAUCGUCUUCAACAACAAAAGGAUGAACAGCGGAGGAGGGGGGGGUACAGAGGGGGGGUGCAGUGGAAAUGAACUUCGACGUGGUUGAAUAAAACAUUUGUCUCUGAGGACGUUGCCUUGUUUUACUGCUGUCUGGCUCAUGGGGAGGGAUGAGGGGGGGCUGUUAGCCUCCCUGAUGGUUAAUCCUCGCUGUAAUGAAAGGGCAAACAAGUUAGUCAUCACAGGAACUCUCUCACACACACACACACUUAGGAAUGCACAAACAAAGCAAGUCAUAAAGCAAACGCACUACAUGCGUGUUUGCGGUCCUGAUUCUGCGUUCUGAUUUGUGCACAAAAACAGAGCCGGCCUCCUCCGCUGUUGCUUAAUGAUCAAAUUCGUGCAGGUUUAAAGCAGCAAGUAAAUUGCCAACCGUACCUCCCAUUUGUUAUCCUCUGCAGGACAUGUGUUUGACCUGGUGGAAUAGCACACAAGCUAUUAAGACCAAUUGAGCCGAUGUUGUCUCGGUCCGGGCUCGUCUGUGUUACACGUAACGCGAUCCCGACUCCCUGCCCCGCUCGACCUCGUCAUCAAACUCUGCAGGAAUUGAUUAGAUGGCUCCCUAAGCUUCGUAAUGUCAUUUGCUCUAUCGGAUAACCGUGUGGGGAAACAGUUGUGUGGGCCGAAGCCGAAGAGGUAAGUGCAUUCAGCGACAUUUCUGCUAACGUCUACAAGCCGGACUGAAGAAGUGCUGUGGCGAUGUUAAGAUUAAUCGUAAAAUGUGUGCGUCACACGAGUCUGUUAAGUUCGGUAGCUUUCUGUAAUAACAACAGAAAUAAUUACAUAUAUAUAUUGUAUAUAUAAUAUGUAUUUAUUUCUACUGUGAGACCUGCUCAGAUUGUUUAAAGUGGCCCCUUGAAAAUGUUCACAGUCGAUUCAUUCUGCCUUUCUAUCAAUAAAACAGUCAUAAUUAAUCACUUAGUAUAUCUUUGGUUUAUUUUGUAAAAAGUCUUCUAUAAUGAAAUGUAUUCAGCAUUGUUUUUUACGAGAAAUGAACACGUGGGAUUUAAGUGAACUACAAUAAAUGUCACACAACUACUCUACACUUCUCUUGGACUCGGACAAAGAAACCAUUUCCCCAUCUGUCUUAUCUGCUCACGCCAUCAAUCCUUUUCACCGGCAGGAUGUAUCAUCUAUCUUUAAAAAAAAAGGCUUGUGUUAUUUUACAUUCCGAUACAACACAGUUAUGGACCAUAUACGUUACAAUGUGUUUGACCCUUUUUCUGGCAAAAGGUGUGUGUACAGGUUUGUGUGUAUGUGUGUACACGUAUAUAGACUAAAAUCAAACGCCAUAUGUUUAGGUGCUCGUCCCCCCCAUCUCUGUCGUCAUCCGUCUCACCAUCAUCUCAGCUCUCCGUGACACAAACGUGGCUUCAUAAACUGCACCUGAGGAGAUACAGAGAACACCAAAACCUGUCGACACAAUUUUGCCUCAAAUGAACGUGGAUGAACUGCCAAUAAAGACAAACCACGAAGCGAAAAAAGGUAUUGGAUCAUCAAUGAUGACGCAGAUCCAGCGAGAGUUGCGUGUCACUUAUGGAUUACGGUGGUUUUGACCCCCAGUCCAGGAUCCGGGAGUUUCACAGAGGUCCUGACUCCUCGCCAGGCUCCCAUUAGGCGCACACAUUCCUUUGCCCUCUAUCUGACGGGCCUUGGCAAGUGUCGCGGUAAAUGUGUGCGUCUGUGUUUUGAAUGUCUGGGUUUACGAGGUCAAACCAUUCGUAACGCAACCCCCGCGAUGACGACACAAACGCACAAAGACGCAGUAGACAGGUUCGCGGGAGUGAGGACAUGCCUCGGUGUGAAACGUGUCAGUUCAUGGGAAUAAUCCUCCCCGAUUCUACUCGUUAUUUCAUCUCGUUAGGGCAAAAGGGCUCCAGGGAGGACGCGGGAUAUUCAGCGUGGUGAAACAACGGGAUGAAAGAUGGAAUGGGGAUAAAGCCUUUUGCGGCUGAUGAUUAUUUUCGCAGGCGCAGAAAGUUUUUUUUUUUUUUUCCCAUGGGGCAAGUUGAUUGUUAUAGUUUUAACAGUUUUUCUACUGAAUUGAUUUCUUUUAGUGACUCCAGCAUCAAAAUCCAGGCCUCGGCAUUUUAACGGCCUGUCAAACUAAUUCACAUAUUGCAGUAAUGUCGCUGAUACAGUUUUGUUUACAUCAUUGUGAUGGCAGCAUUACGUAUGUAAGUAUGUAAGUAAUAAUGUUGUGCAUCCCGUUCCUCCACACGGACCAUCUUAGAAAUCCAUUUAUUUGUGACAAAAAAAAUAACUGUUUAUAUUUUAAAUGAUGAAGUUGAAAGAUGAAGUUUCACGAUGCAGCUUCAGAAGUGGAAGUUGAAAUUGUGGCCGAAUCAAUUUUUCCUUGGUGAAUUUGGAUUUACUGUGUAAUAUGCCAACUUUCUGAAUGUAUACCUAAACUAUUUCUCCUCCGUGCUUGUCGGCUGAGAAGAAAUGCCAUUCAACUCGCCUUUUCAUUACGCAUUCAAUUCCCCCCCUGUCUGUGAACAGCCUCUUGUGUCUGUUCAAAUAGAGUGUAUUUAGGGAAGAUACUGCCUCACCCCGCUGACACUUUACAGACAUUCACUGAACUCAACACUGGAAAUGGAAGACGAAGAAAAAAAAAAAAAGAGUAAUCGCGAAUACAUUUUCCUUCUUCCACGUGGCCGAGAUAUUCUAUUUACCACACAUUUCUUUGCCUCUUUAUAUCCAGUUAAUGAGAUUUCAAAUAAAUGUGAAGUGAGCGGCAUUUAAAUUGCUAUUCAGUCUGGAGGCAUGGCACUGGAAGAGGGAGGGAUUCCUCCAGAUGACAGAAGAGCUAUUACUGCCGCCGCCGCCGCUGCGUUCGCUGAGCAGAGCGGUUCCGGGAAACGCAAUAAGUGGCAGGCGCUGGUGAGGACUGUUUGAGGGUUUUAAUCUGGUGAAGGUGGGCUGUGGAAAAGAACGGAAGAUGCCAAUGCCGAAGGCCGCGUUGAGGAGCGAGCGUGCUCGUGUUUUUCACUUGAACUCUCGCGCACAGACCCGUCGUCGACGUGAAUCUUUUAAAACUCAGACUCCUCCUGUGAGUGGACAGUGGAAAUGUUGAAUGAAUGUAUGUAAUUGUCUUAAGGAGUACGUGGUGUGCGACGAUAGAGCAACAUUUAGUUGUGAAUCUCCUCAAAUAACACUGAAAAGAACGCAGAAAAGUGUUUUUUCAAAGAAUUCAAGAAGACACACUCAUGCAACCAUAUUAAAGCUGCCUCUCAGCCGGGUGACAGGAACCACAGCGGGAUUGAACGGGGAUGAGCCUGAGAGGGCUUCAACAUUUCUGGAGACUCCACAGACUCCGUGAGACCUUUAGUGUGAACAGGAGACAGACGGAGACAGACAGAGACACAGGGCGGGGGGGGCGACCAACUGCAUGUGCCAUCUGAAGGGUCUAGAGGCUUGAGGCCUCAUCCACAGGGAACCUGCCAAAUGCUGACAGCACCCUCCAUGACACCCCUUUAGAUUUCAACAGGGACUGCAAGUCUUGAAGUCAGAGUAGAUUUACUGAUUCUGUGCCACAGGCAACAGUUUGUGUCCCGCAUUAGAUUCUUUUUAGUUCCUUGUGUUGACCUGCUGACUGUAAAGGCAUCUGCGUAGUUGGGGGCACCCGUAGCACAGUGAUGCUUCACAGAUGGCACGUUCGUUUAUAAUGACAAUACGCAUGUCACAGGGUCAAUGUUUACUCAGUUUUCCACAAUUUUAAGGGAAAACAUAUUGAUUAAAUAUUAAUGCAUGAGGGAAAUUCAAAUUCAUUACUUUUUUUAAACAUUUUUUGUUUCAUGUUAUAAUGUAACAUACACAUUUCUGCCUUUACAGUCAGCAGGUCAACAUUAGGUCGCCACCCAAAAUUGAUUUAACAUGUAGGCUUGAACCCCUGACUGGCUUAUUCACCACAGCAACAGUGGCUGAUGUUUGGGGUGUGUUAUUUAGAGCCAAACCUGACAUCAAAUGUGAAUUGCAAUAAAUAAAACAUAAAUCUAUGUAUUGUUUAAUCAAAAUUAGUCAUCCACUGAAAUCACAGCUGUGUGCUACAAAGCUGUGUUGUCACCAUAGUUACUCGGUUUACUGAAGUUUAAUAUACCUAAAGCUCUAAUCCAAAAUUGGGGAAAAGGUCACACACCAGCCAAUCAGUUUAAAGCAGUCUUCACUAAGAAGGCGUAUGAGACAUGAGUGUAGCUGAAAUAACUCAAUGUGUUGUAAACUGUGGCGGGAUCUUUCAUGGAUUGAGUUUUCGGGCCCCGGGACGGGCCGGUCAUCGUACUCUGCGCUCGUUGUCCGUCUCUCACUCUUCCUCUGCAUGUUCUCAGCAGGUCCCCACUAGCCCAAACCCAUGGAGACUGUCUUCUGUCUGUCCGGGUUCCACCGAUGCCGGAUGAAACUCAUACCUAUGAAUUCCAUGAAGAAAAAAUGUAUGCAGACGUCAUCCCAUGACAUCAAAAUGACACAGCUGCCACAGUUGUGCUUCUAAAAUUUCCGAUCCGAAUAGCUCUCGUAAAUACCCGCUAGACAUUUGGACUUCAGGACAGCUGGUUUUCUUAUAAAGCAACUUUUUUUCAGAUAAUGGUUUUAAGGGCUUAUGGACUUUUCCUCACAGGGAACUUCAGAAAUCAGGUAGUGGUCUAAUCCAUUUAGUCAGGUAUCCCGCAGCAAGGGGGAAGCUUACUUAAAUAUGACACGUUUCAUGUGCCUUUUUUGACUGUAAUCUCUCAGAACACAGAGGUUUCAGAUACCAGGACACAAAUCUAAAUCAUUUAAAAAUUUUGGAAGGCACUGGCACACAAUUAGGUUCAUUUAAUUGACAAAUAAAGAAUGAUUUGGCAAGAGCCUACAGCCUGCGUCUGGUCUUUUUCAAACUCUCUAUGCUAAAUAGGCACGCUGACACCAGCAUGCCGACUCUAACAGGGAUAUUGUGUGCACGCUGAUCCUCCUCAUGACCGUCAUUUAACCAUAUAAAGCAAUAAACUAUGUUAAGGUAGCUAAGCACUUUGGAUAUAAACAUUCAAUUUUAGUUGUUAUUGUGUUCCCACGCAGUGGGAUGUGGGAUAAAUUCUACUUCUCGUCUUUAAUGUGUGUGGGUUUAUUUUUAGAGAUAAAUGUGCUUCUUCUCAACAAUAGACGCUGGAUGCAUGAUGAAGACCUUUAACGGGUUCUUCAUAACCCAAAUCCUUUGUUAGGGGCAACAGGUAAUAGCUACCUGAGUAUGUGAUGAUGCAUUAACACUUCAGUUUUAUACGUAUGUAUAUAUAUAUAUACAUUUUUUUUAUUUGACAUUCCCUAUGUUUUCCUUUCUCCCUGUGCCGAUUCGUUCCACAUAAGGUUUUUUUUUUUUUGCUCAUUAUUUCUGUCCUCUCGUCUCCUCCGGCCUCAUGGGGCUUCCUGACAGCCGGUUUCACCCACACGUGUUUGCCAACAACCGGCCGGCGAACACUGAUCACUCAAUCCUCUGCUGUCCAAAUAUUGCAGGCUGUUUCCAUAUCAGACCUGAAUCAUUGGAAACUCCACAGCAUCUCUUAUUCAUCGUGGCCAUAAAUUAUUCUCCCUGAUAUGAGCUUCAGUCACGUAAGGCAAAGCUGGAGACUCUGGCACACUCUGACAGAGCUAUAACGAGAGAGAGAGAGAGAGAGAUAAAUGAAUUGACAGAGUUAGGAGUUAAAGAAAGAGAUUAGCAGAGGGUCAAUGGACGUGACAUAAUAAAAAGAAAUAACAGAAGAGUGACGGAGACAUUUCUAAUGGAUGCUUCACGGACGUUGUGCGUUGAUGACUUGGACAGGACACUUGAAGGCGUACUCACGUUGCACAUGCAAACAUUAUACGACUACACAGUAAUCACGUGACCCCGGUGAGCUGACAGGUCAUCAAGCUCGUGUUUCUUUCUAUUUCUUUGUGUGCUCAAGUCUAUGCUGAGGUAACUCGAAUAAACGCGUUUAUGGAGGUUUUGUGAGGGAUUUUCAUGUUAACCAGACUAAAAAACAGUAAUGUGAACAGUAUUAAGAUAUAAAAUGGCAUAUGUAGUAGUUUGAUUGCAAUUAAAUAGCCCCAAUGGAAACAAUACAUAAUACAAAGUACAAAUGAAAUCUAGAAUUGGGUUAAAUCUUCCGCUGUAGGUUGACACUUAAUAGUAAAAUAGAAUCAACCAAAUGAGCCACAAUCGAGUUAACAUCUUUACAUUUAUAUUAUUGCAGAAUCCAGAUGAAUAAGUUUACUGGCUGAACUUCCUUUCAAGCAAAUAUAUAAUUUAAAUUACCUUUAAUUGCAUAUCUUGAAUGGAAAUGAUUUACCUCGCAGCUGUCAAACUUCUUUACGACAAAGAAAAAGCAUUUGAUGUGGUGGCACUGGUUUGCCUGAUUGUUCAUGAUGGAACAUUUGCGUGUUGGUAGUUUUUACAUCCAUAUUUUAUUAUUUUUCUCAUACAGACAGGGCAUAAGUGAGCCGCCUGCUUUAAAUUUGUAUCCCUCUGAUGGAAUCCAAUGCAUUUGCGGGAUACAAUUUCAUCUAGUUGUCCAAGAACGAUUGUCUUACACCGUGGUCUUUAUGGUGAAGAGAAACUGAAAGCGGCCCUACGACAACUCACAACUCUAUUUUUAAGAUUCAUCACGGUGUGAGCGAAUCCCAUAAGCUUUCAUUAGCAGUUCUACCCAAACACAGUCUUACAAACUCACACACAUACUGUCAAGGCAUUCAAGGUCGUGUUCCCGGUGGUGUGGGGGCAGCACGGCUCCGUAAUAAAUGGGAUCCCUCGUUGGUAUUGUAUUGUGUAUUAUUGUUCAAGCCACCGUAGCUCGACACUUAGCGCCUCUGAUCCAUGAAGAGGGCCGGUGUGUGUCACAUUGAUGGAUACAGUCAUUAUGAUGCCCUCCUUGUGUCUGUCCUCUUGUACUGUGGGCUCGUUGUACUUUGCCUUCAUGUAUUCCUUAAAACAUCCGCCGUCUGACCAAUAAAGCACGUUGGAGAGUAGUUUGGGUCAAUGGGGCAUUGAUUUUAGGAAACGAACAAAGGUAGAAUUUGUUUUGUGUGUGCACAUUGGUUCAAUGUUUUACUGGCAGCAAAAAGCAUUAUUUUAUAACAUUAAUGAUUAAAUCAUUGAAUAUGUUCUAAGAAAUAUUUUUAUACAUAUGAUGUUACCAUUUAUAUAUAGAAACACACAGCGCCAUAAUACUUUUUCUUCAUUUUUGCUCUUUUCGAAAAAAAAAAAAAAAUCUAAAUUGUUUCAUUUACUGCUAAUUAAUAAGAAUUCCAUGGUCACCACAAUUUGUGUCAGAACUAAUGCCCCAAAAAAGAAAACAGAAAUUAGCCAUCCAAUAAAAUGGUGUGGAUUAUUAGAAAAAACUUUGAUUUGACCAGAGCAGCCGGCUCAGUGAUUGCGCCCAUAUCCUGUUACCUUUGCUGUGAUUCAAAGAAUGUUCCACUCUGUUCAGGAUAAAUCUUAAUCAUUACAUUGGGAUUGUCGGUAUCGGCUUUCACGGCAAUAGCCUGCGUGUAUCUGUAGAUUCUCUUCCUUUGACACGACUGCAGUUUGAACCUUCACACCACAGACGGCACGAAUACCCGUCACAAAGUGUGAAACCACCUCAAGUUAAGUCAUCUCGCAGUUUUCUGCCUGUUGUGGCACAUUGACUGUCGAACACAUUUGGGAAUAGUGCCAAUCAGUUUCCUCUCUAUUACAAAGAGCGAAUGUUAUUGAUCACUGCUAAUGAUCAAAUAUUAGCGCUGCUGAAUUCAGGGCUGCAAAAAUCAAUGUUACUUCAUAUUUGGGAAAACAGCAAAGCUGUUGUAGGAGCUUUACAGAGGCUCUCAGAGGGGGGCUGGUGUUCCCACAAACAAACAUCUAGUACAGUGCGUUCUUCAAACAAAGGCUGGGAGGCUGAGCUGGGAAAGAAUACCUGGCAGUGCCGGAGUUCAUGGACAUGGAAAUAAAACAAAGGACCCAAGAUGGAAGGUACACAAGCAAUUUGUUUUAUUUAUUUAUUUUUUGGAAGUUAAAACCAGUUUUCCUCCUUUCUUUAGGAUAAUCAUUGGGGGAGUUUUUUUUAUAAACUAUUUCCAAAAAUUUCAGUCUAUGCAAUUUGUUGUUAAAAUGUAAUGGUCAAGUGAUGCUUCAAUAUGCUGGAAUCUGGUGCGUAAUAAUGAUCUAUUCAUUGCAAACAUGUUGAGGUGACGGGACACAUAUUAAAAAGUCUUGCAAAUAAUGCAGGGAUAAAAUACAAACCAACUAUUUUAAAAAUCAUAACCUCAUGGAGUGUGCUUGUUUCCUUCUCAGCUUUGUUUGGUUAUUCUUUCAUUCUAGAUGUGUAAUUAAAUGCAUGACCAGUAUGGAAACAAAUGAGAUUGAUUUACAACAGACGUGUUAUUGGCAAAGAACUCUGCUUCACUUAAUGUUGUAUGACAAACCACAAAUACAUGAAGAAAAUCCAUAACCUCAUGAACAAAUGGACUGGCAACAGUAUGAAGGAGUCGUUACAAUAAGCCAAACAAAAGACUUUAAUCAACUUUUCUUUUCAAUUUAAAAAGUAUGACUGCUCAAUUUGGAUUUGCAGAUCCCGAAGAAGAAACAAAUGCUGCUUUAAACACGGCCGUCCAGCAUGACAUCAGACGUUUGAUACCAUUUAACAUGGAGACAAAACACAGAAAUAAGAGAGUGAUAUAUUUUCAUUCCCAUGUAGGCAGUGGAGUUUUAAUUGAAAAUGGAAAUUUCUCUAUUCAAGUCCUGAUUAUCAUAGCAGGUGGAGAGCAAUUAAAAUAAAUGAAUGGUGAUGUGCUUCUGCCGGUGUGUUACUAAAUGCUGGGGGGCGUCUUACCACACAUUUAUACACACCCACAUCUUAUUCUCUUAUCGCGGAUUUCCUUUAACAUUUGGCCCACAUUCCAAGGAAAAAGAAGAAGGUAAUAAACUGCACGUACGUCUGUUUCCGUGUGUGUGUGAGUAGUUUAUGUGUAUAUCUUAGUGUGUAUAUACUGCAUGUGCGUGUGUUCUGGGUAAAUAAAAUAUGUUUUCUUCUUUUAGUAAGAAUUAAACAGGUGGGAAUAGAGGAAAACCCAAGCAAACGCUAUAUGUAGCAUCUGUCAUCUGCAACAAAGAAUCACUUUGUAAAUCAUCACCAUCCCCUUCAUCGUCUCCUGAGGAAGACGUAAGCAGACAAACAAACUCACAGAGCGUGGUGGGAUGCAGGAGACUUCCAGCAGGGAAUAGGAAACAUCUCAGAGAUUACUGCUUUUCUUCCAUGGACAGAAUCUUAUAAAAACCUGGAAAAACGAAAUCUUUACUUUAAUUGAAUAAAAAUCCAGAUGUGAUGUGGAGCCAAAUGAAGGUCUGCUUCAUACAGAUCCAUCAACAAAAAACACAUGAUUCUCAUUUAGAUUUUGUCUUCAAAUAUCCCAAUACACCAUUUUUAUUCUAUCUUCAAAUCUGUAAUUUUCUUUCAACGUGUAUCAUGUCCUCCCCAAUGUGGGCGGACUGCAAAUGGACGUUAUGGUGAGUUUGCGUUGAAUACAUGACUGAUUACUUGUGGAAAUGUCUAAAAAUAGAAUCUGUCUAGAUUAUCUGUGUGCUUUAAAAUCUUUAGGUAGGUGUGCAGAAAAUAUGCCGGCGGUUUGAAGCAGAUACUUAUGAAAAGUAUCUGUUUUCCGUGUAAAUGAAAGCACGGGAGGCCUCUCCUCAUGUAGAGCAGGGAGUCAGUAACAUAGGAGUCCGUUGUCCUCUGAUUGGACCAUGUCUUGUUGAUAUCAUUAUAUCCCUUCUAGUAGAUGCCAGCUGCUGAGGUUUAACUUGAAACGAUUCUCUCAGUAUACCCAUAAUGCAUCGCUGCUUUACGUUUGUGCAAAUGUCUGAUCAGAUAAGUUGGAUCGUACGUGAUAAAUUUGCCAAAAUGUGCCCUGGUGUUUGCAACAGAGAGGAAGAAGGGAGCGAAGAGAGAGAGAGAGGUAACACAAGGGACUUGCAAGAGAAAGAAGCGGCAAAAGAUAAAAAGGAGACUGAGAGCAGAGUGAUAAUGCACAGAAAUGUGCUAGAGUUAGAAAGAGACCUCAGAGGUGUUUUUUCGACAGGAAACGUGGCCGCGGCGUCCCGCUCUGCCCCGGUUGGGUGUCGUCUUUAACUUCAGCCCUCGCUGAUGGAUGACGAGACCCCAGCGGGAGCCCGCAAGCGAGGCGGGGACGGGGAAUUGGAAGCGAUGUCCGGGGGAACCCUUCUUUACCAUAAAUUAAAACAGGACGGAUUCCACAGCAAAGGCCUGUGUGUGUGCGUGUGUGUGUUUGUGUUCUUUUACGCUUCUUUCUGCAAGAACCAAUUGGAGAGUGGAGACAUUUUUGCGGGAGGUCAAAGUAAUAAAUCUUUAUUUUUUUCAAAUUUGGUUUCUUAAUUGUUUUGAUGGAUGAAUUAAAUGCUCCGCUGUGAAAAUGCCGUUAUUUUCCAUCCAAAUACCACAAAGCGAACAGUGAGUGUAGACGAUGGUCUUACCGUGUCUUCUUUCUGCUUCUUUUCUAAAUUCAUUUUUCUUGGACAUUGAACACGGAACAACAGCUCCGGCCUUAGCUGUGUUUGCUAUGUGUGUCGAAAUGUCUUGAUUGAGCACAGAGCAGCGUGGAAUUAUUACGUCAAUGGAGCUAAUAGCGAAUCCUCACAUGUAGAGACACACAAAUGUGUGUGUGAGCGAUACAGUGUAGCCGUGUGAACGAUAACAGUCCGCGUGUACGCAUGUGUGUGCGCUCGUUCAUGCACAACUACCCAAAGUGCAUUGACUCGCAUGUGUCUGGAGUCUCAUAUUGCAUCCAGAUGUCACGGCAAAUCACUUCACGUCAAAGACAGCCCAACGUGUUUCAUAAGGCUCACAAACCCACGGCAGGUGCAGCCGCCUCCACGGCUUUCAACAACGUGCUGGUGGUUGGUAAUAUGAGUGGAAAACCCGAAUGGACACAAUUAUGGUUUCAGUGAAAUAUCAACUUUUAUUAAGUAUGCCGCAUAGACCGCAGUCCGUGCACCAUCUCUGUCACAGCAAACCGGCAUUCUUAAUGUGUAAUAUUGAUAAUCCAAGACAUAUAUUUGCGUCUUAAAAUCAACAGAAAAUGUGUUGCCGUAAGUUUCCCAUGUAUCUUGCUUGGGAAUGUGACUCCCUCUCUCUGAUUACAUCGAGGAGUCAACCAUGCAGGAUAUUAACCAUUGAAAGUUCCUGCUGCAGCCUGAAUUAAAGAUAAAUCAGCAUGCACACAAGGAGAAAACAACUAAAUGCUUAAAUGUUUAAAAUCUUUGGAUUCAUUGAGUACUUUUGAGCAAAUGCAAAUAAUUUGUUUUAGACUUUGAGUGUGUGUUGUUGUGGAAUAAGUGAUUAGAAAGAAAGAGGAUGGAAACAAACAACAACGUGGUGACGCUUUAAGUACAACAGACAUACGUUGUCAUUACAAUAAAUGUAAUGGGACUCACAACAGCUUAUAUUUAAACCUCCGACCAUCGUGUUACUGCCAAAAUAUUUGCAUGAGAAUAUACUUUAAAGGCAGUACUGCAUCCAUGUUCUGUCAGCUGUUUGUUUGCUGCCAAACAUACUGUAAUUUAUAAUAUCACUUCAUGACAUCAAAAACAACCAGCACAAAUUUUUACAUUUACAUUUCAGCCUUUUCACUCACUUACUUGAAUAAAGUCACGGCUUUAAAUGACACACUUGUUUCUUCCAGACGACUUCGUGGGAAAGUCUCAUAAAAUAAGUCAUGUUAGAUAAGAGACAUUUGAUGUGUUGGUGAUUUACGGUCCAAGCAGUAUACCUCUCAAUCAAAACUCAUGCGUACGGAUCACGUCCCCCGGUGUCCUCGUUACCGCCAUGAUCCCGUGACCCAGUGAGAAACUGGACACACUCGUGCAUGCACAUACUCGCUUUCACACGUAUGACAUAUUUAUGAAAAGUAUCUGCAACUGCAAUAACUGUUUCGACGUGCCAAGUAAAUACUUACAGCUCCGGUGUUUCCAGCAGAGAAUGAUGCAUUAGUCUAAAAACGUUUAUGACAAAUAGUCCUUAGCGAAGGGAGAAGAGAGUAUAACGCUUAGAGGAGAAAGAUCUCUGCUGGAGAUAAAAGUUACUUUGGGUGCGCAGAGGAAACGAUCAAUUAUUCUCUGUGCUCCUCAUUCAUAAUGUUGGCUCACCAUACAUCACAUGAAGAGAGCCUCUUAGAAUUCGCACACAGCCAUAUGGAAAUAGGCAGGACAAAACAGGCACCCGCAUUCACACACACACACACACACACAAAGUACUGGAUGAAUCCCCUCUGCGGCUGGGGACGGGUCCAAAUGGGCUCCUGUCUGCCUACUGCUGCUGUCUGAUGUGUUGAUCUGAAGCAGGCAGUAAUAAACCCCCAAUUUAUUGUAAUAUCAUUUGAACUCUUCUGUCAUCUGUAAAUGCACUUCUCAGGUUCAUAAGCGAUGUUCCGAAUCACUGGGGAUCUUUCUUUUUCAGGGGAGUCUCUUGAAAUGAUCUUCUUAAAUGUCUUCUGAGAGCAAUUGUACAGUUCUCGUUGUUCAAAUUGUUUAGCAAUUAUUUUCAAAUAUCAAGGAGCAUUUAAAAUAAGUAUAAAUUUGGAUCUGGGUCUGUAACCGUUCGACAGGAGAAUAGAGAACCUGGAUAAAAGCUGGACAUCGUGUCUCCUCCUUCUUGGACACCAGGCAGUGGCGUUAUUCUUACAAAUAUUUUGUCACAUGGGUCAGCAGAAUAAGUUGGAGAGAAAAUAUUUACAGCAAACAUUUGCUAACGUGCUCAUUCAGUUGACGAGAGGCAACGUUACAAUGAAAUCAAGGUUGUAUUUCUAUCUAAAGUCUUUGGCACUUUGGCACCAGCUCGAUGCCGUCGUCGUCUGUCUGCCGUUUUGAGCUCGGCAGGUGGCAAACAACAUUUUUUUUAAAGCUGUUUUCUCCGUGAAUCAAACAAUGCGAAGGGUUUUUGGGUCCUGGAAGCGAAAUAAUGACUUAAUAUAUCUCUGUGCAGAUAAAGGGAACGUUGCAUGCAAACUCUUUUACGCAACACACAUUUCCUCCAUUAUCAAGUUGGAUACAUUAGUCAGAAAAAAGCUUGAUUACCUUUAGAAAGGCGUCACAUACUGUGCCAGUAUCAACCUAAGAGGUGCAACGAGAUGAAACAAGUCUUUAGUUUCAUUUUUCAUCAACUGAGUAUGAAGCUGCGUCUCAUUAAAUGUAAUCAUCCAUUGAGAGGGCCGUGGCAAUAUUUAAGCAAAAUACAAAGUCCAGGUCUGCAAUCAUUGGCAUGAAGAACGCGGCCUCUUUACAACUCUCACCUGAAAAGGAUCCCUGCACUUCCAAUGUUUGCUUCACUCCGUGACACCACCAGAAAGAAACACGGGAUUCCCAUUUACACAUGCUUUAUUUCUCGACCUGCACUCCUCGCCUCUCUCGCCGACAUGAAAUGUCGCCGCAGAAGGUGCCGCCAUACUCUGUUCUCCUGAACGUGACGAUGAUGAUGACAGCAAGUCGUGGCGUCGCACACCUGCAACACAUCAUUCUCCUCCGGCCAGACGGCCACCUGCUCCCUUCGCCACAAGCCACAAUUCACACCGAGGGAAGCUGCGAAAGGAAAGGAAGGAACCUUUGCCGGUGGUUGAGUAAAGGUGUGAUCGAGGAGGGGGGGGUCACCUGUGGCGUUGGGCUUAAAGUUGUGAUUGCUGUAGGAAAGGCGUGCACCCCCGAUGUGGACACUGUCUGCUCCGGUGAAGGAAAAGAGGUGAGGUCGAACGAUGACACAAGACACGAUUCACUUUUGAAAUAUCCGGUCGGCGUUUUGGUUCUCACAAGUCGUAUGUUUCCACCUGCUGAAUUCUGCUCUGUGGCUUUGUGUUUUUAUCCGUGCUCAGUACAUAAUUUGCAGUAGCUGUGGGAACAGCACUUUAGCUGUAGUUGCUGUGUGCGUUGAUGUGACAUCGUUGUCCCGGCAUUCUCCACAGCGAUGGGGUUUGGAUUCUUGCUUUUGUAAAGUGGUAUAACAAAAUGGAUCCUCGCGUACCAGUAUAAAUAGGAUUUUAGACGCCUAAGUUUCCCUUUGUAAACAGGAGCGUAUGGAGGGACAAACAAGAAACAUGUCACAGGAAACUGGUGCAGUGUAGGUCAACAUCUAUGAGCUUCUCACUUCUUAAAGACCCCUCAAACCUAAUGAACCCGUUCAUAGCACAGCUCUCUCUGCACGCGAUGGCUCCAAAAACACACAGUGCUUCUUUUUUUGCUAUACUUUUAUCAGAAAUAUGUUUAAAUGUUGCGAUUCAAAGGAAUCAUUUUAAGUUUGACAAUCUUUCAAAUUCAAAUCCAGCCCUUGGAAAACCUUUUCCAGAGAUUUGCAUUCUAAUAGCCACUAACUCAGGUGAACCGGUUAAGUAGUGUGCUAACUAGCUUACACUGUCUGAGCGGACGGAGGUUAGAUGAUGUUCUGUAUUUUGCACCACCACAGGGGGGGGAAAGUGUGUACACUCAUAACCUCUGAACAAAGCCGCUGGUUUGUCAGCUCUCUGCCGUCGCCAUAUCACCGUAUUUGAAAACCUUCUUUUUCUGUUUUGCCUUUUUCUCCUGUUCUUUUCUUUUCCCCGGUGACCAUCAGAGGUGGAGAUGAAUUGUCUGGGACGGUAAUAUAGAUAGUGGCUUUGACCUGUAGACACUUCUCCGACUCGUCCCAAAUCAAUUUACCGUUCCAUCACUGCCCCCCUCAUGCCCGUCCCUCCAUCCCCCUGCCCAUCUCCUGCCAAUCUCCAUUCAUCAGUCUUCCAUCUCCAUUCUCUCCUCUCAUCUUUUCUUUAUUAUUACUCGGACUUUCAUGACAGUGAGAACAAAAAGUUUGUCUCUGCGUGCCGUACUUUGGAGAAAAAAAUAAAUACAAGAGAACGAAUUGGACUUUCAAAAGAAGUUUGCCCUGAAACCUUUUGUCUUUGGCUCUCAUGCAGUAUUCAUGUUCUCCAUGAACUCUUCCUUGCUUUGCUUCAGUUCUUUUUUCUAAACUAAUCAGGAAAGAAUUAAUGACCUUGAGGCUAUAGCCAAACAGUGUGACACACCUGCCGCUUCUUUGCUGUGUGUGUGUGUGUGUGUGUGUCGAUGGGCGCAGGAAGGGGAAACAGGGUUUAUUUUCUUCGUUCUUACUCUUUUGCGAUUCUUUAUCCCAAAUUGUAAAGCUAUGGUACAAACAGCAACAGGGCCACUGCCUUUAUGAUUUUUUAAUGAUGAUCACUUUACAUAAAUAAUUAUCGUUAUCCUUUUUAUGGUCUUUGUCCAAAGCUAAAUCCCAAUUAAAAGACAAAGACAGAAUAAUAUGGCAGACAUGUUGACCAAUGAGAAGACUGAAAUGUUUCACAAAUUAUUGAAAUAAGCAAACAUACAUUUAAUAUUUGCAUAACAUUUUCGCCACUAUAAAGUGGGUUCGUUGUCUGUUUGGGAGGAAGCAACACAGCACGAUCCAGCGCACACAUUUUGUUGUUCAAGAAUGAGGGUUGACAUUGGUUUCAUUAUGAACAAACCUUUAAAACAAUUGUAGAAUUAAAAAGUCACUAUUGGAAGCAAUACUGGUGAACUAAUUUUCUCCACAGGACGAACUGGAAUCCAGAUCUACCAAUGUGGUGUUUGUUUUAUUUGUAUUUUUAUAAAAGGUGCAUAGCGUGUAAAAGCAUUACAUUCUAUGUGUAUUUCCCCAGUACCAGCAGCAACUUUUCUGUCAACUUUUUUCUUUUGUAAUUAUUGGUACCAUACUUCCAAUAACACGGGAGCUUGACAUGUCAUUGUGGUAUUUUAUCAGGAGCAGAAUGAGAUCGGGUAAAAUCCCUUCUUCUACCUUUUGUAAUCCUUCGUCUGCGCUCCGACAGGGUGUUGGAGCCUUAGCAGAGAUUAAUCGAUGAUGGUAUUUGCACAUUUCUUAUCGCGCUGCCUGUUCCGCUGUCAUAGAAACGCAGGGAUUACAUUCACCUCUGAUGUACCCCUGACAGCAGUGAAGGGACGGGUCGGCUGCCAUGACUUGGUUUCGUUCUUUAUUUAUUUCCCUCCGGAAUCCAUUUAAGAAGCACAUAACAAACGUUUGCCGACAUGUAAAAAGCUGUUUUGGUUUAUAUUGUGUUUCCUCUUUGUCUCACCUGAAAUGUUUCCUGAUAGGGAAAAACUGAUGAAGCUUGCGGUUCAGUCAGCUGAUCCGAGAACAGCAAGAUUACGUCCAGAUGUGAACAUUAUAAGACAUCAGACAAGAGCAGAGCCGGGGGGAUUACACGGGGCUCACAACAUGCAACAAAGACCAACGCACAGAAGGAGAAGGGAGCGUGGGACGCUAACUGAGAGGGAUACAGAAAGAAGAAUGGACAAAAAUGUGGUUUAAAGAAGUGCAUUCAAAUAUUAAAGGAAUAUUGAAAAAAGUUGCUUAUGGUUGUUAAAAGCUUCAAUUCUUUUUCUUCAGAGUCAGUGCAUUGCAUGAGGACUACAACCAGAACAAAGGGCUGCAGAACACAUCUGUCCUCCCUACUCUGCAUGCAGGAGACCACCUCCAGCUGUCUGCAUAAUAAACACCGUCUCUCCAAGACUCAUACAAAGACACGCACACACCUAAAACGGGGAAAUACGCAAGCCUGCGUGAACACAGUCACACGCAGCCUCAGUGCCGAGUGAACUUUGCUGUGAGCUUGAACAUUAAGAUGUUGUAAUUUUGGGGGAUAAUUAGUUGGCCUGUCAGUUUUAUGGCUGUACCUUGCUAGCUCAGAGAUUAGGCCUCCGAGACCUCCUGCUCUGCUGCACAUGCAGCACUGUGCCCUUUAAUGUGUGUGUGUGUGUGUGUGUGAAACAAAUGGAGAGAGAAGAGGAGAAAGGAAUACCACUGAGAGGAAAUUAUAAUGCCGCUAUUUAAUUAGCAAAACCUCAUUCAACUUCCAUCAGCGGUUCUGAACCGCCGUCCCCCUCAGUCAUAUUUUUAAUGCGUCUUUGCACAUACAAUGAUUGUAAAUUCAUAGCUGUCAUUUAUAUUCAAAUACCCUUUGUAAUCACUGUAAUUGUUUCUUUUUCUGAUAGGAAUAGCAAGGUUUUACUUCAGGGUGAGAGAGCCUUACUAAUAUGAUCUGAAUGUGAUUCCAAAGAUUAGAGAGGAGAGGGAAAUGUCCAAAGUGCUCUGCACGUCCCUUAUGUUAACCAACAUUAUGUCCUUUCCACACGCUGUGUUCUCCAGCUCUUCGGGGAGAUGCUGAUCCUGUGUUCCCUGCCCAGCUGAGAUAUUUUGAGCAAAAAAAAAACAUGGUGUAAUUAUAUUUAAUGAUAUAGUUUUAAUGAUAUAGUAAGAUAUAUUGCCAAUACAUGAUUUCAUCAAUAGCAUUAUGAAGCUCUUCAACUCCUUAGCUCGACAUGAUGGCUGUACUUUUCCAUCACACAUGGCUAGUGUGAUCAGCAUGUUAAUGUACAUGUACUGAUAAAAAUGCAUGCACAGCACACUGAAUUGCAUUGGCAAGCAACUGUGCCGGCAAACAGACAUUCCAGAUCUCCAAGGAUCUGACUUUUUCUUUUCAAAUAACUCAACAAUUAUCCAGCAAGCAUAAUGCUGAGCGUGCUGAGGCAGUACACGUGGCAGCACAACACGGUCUGUGAUCCAUUUUUAUUUUCAUAAGUAGUGGAUGCAGGCUGAGAUGCAGGAAAUUCAAAGUAAGAGAGCGUGCCUGAGCGUUUUAUUUAGCACACGGCUGCAGCUUGUGGACAUUUUAAUGCGUGUGUUUACUGGCUACAGUCCACUAGCUCAUACAGACUAUUAGUAAUUAAUUUCCUCAGACAUACACUUAUGCUCACACACUCUCACUCACGUGCACAUGUAGGUGCAUGGAACAAUUAUUCACGACUUGAAACAGGAGAAGAGCAGUAAGUGAACUACGUUCCACAUAAACACUAAACUCUGGAGAAAUAAACCUGCUGUUUCCGUACCCGCGGCUUUCCAUAGAGCUUUUUCUGCAAAGAGGCUGCAUGUAACACACGCUCACACACACAGACACACACACACACACACACACACACACACACACACACACAGACACACACACACACACACACACACACACACGCACACACGCACACAGAAUCAGGGGCAUAUUCAUAUUAAUAAUGGUAGUCACAUUCAAACCUCACAUCACAAGCCAAAUACAGUUUUACUUGAUUCUUAGUUUGUAAUUUAUUUAUUUUUGGCAUGUUAAUUUAUUUUUGCACCUCAUGCUUUAGCUGUUCAUAUCCAAACAUGUAUGACUAAGGACACCUUCUCAUAAUGUAGGGAAUGAUGGUAAAAAUCAUUCCAGCUGAAUCAUAUCUUUAGGUGUAAAGUAUAACACUUUAGAUUGCAAUGUCCAGGCUGUGCAUUACUCAGCGUCACUGAGAGGAUCUUGAUAUGUUUUGCGGAUGAUCAUUUGUUUUUUUGAGAUAAAAAGAUGAGAACAUUUUCAUUUUACCUUUGCUUUGAUUUGUGUGCUAGAUGGUUAUUGACAAAUCCAAUGCUAGCUUCUAAUUAAAUAAAAACAUGUCUCCCUGGAGCUCAAUUUAUAAAUUGGUAUGAUGAAUAUUCAUGAAUUGUAGGUAUAAAUCAUCACAGUAUGAAAGUCAGGAUGAUUUACUAACUAGUUCAGUACCAUAGACUGUGUAUAGGAUGUGCGGACAUAAACAUUGCGAUCCCACCCAUUUGUUUAUUAAAUGGAUUUCACUAUCGCUUCCCAUCUUAAAAGGGUUACAAUAUAUUCUCUCCUUUAAACUAUGUUUUAAUCUUGUCUUUGUCGUUUGGAAAUGCAGUCAGAGUUAUUAUCUAUUUGAAGUCUGUGCCGUUGAAGUUUCUGUUAAGAAAAUGAAUACUGGUGUACCUUAGUGUCACACUAUUUCUCUUGUAUUUGUCUAGGAUACAUUUUGAGUUUGAAACGCAUUUCUGAAACAAGCAAACUGAUACACCCGCCUCUAAAGUCCUCACAUACCAGCCUCAAACAUAACUCCUAAGAUUCAUUUGUAUAUCUCUCCCGCUUCUUACCUAAAUAAUGUCACCAUUUUACUCUGAAAGCCAUCUAGACGACUUACAUCAUCAUCCCUCUUGUUGAAACAGAUGCCCUUGGAUGUAGACACCUCUCUAAAGAUGCUCUCUCCUUCCCAAAACCAAAGGACUUAUUUGGAGAAAAGGCCGAGCAGAGAGGAAGCUUCCUUUAACACCUCACUUUUCACAGUCAAAUUGUGAAAGCAGUAAGUGUAAACACUCCAAACCGAGCCAGCACAGAGGAAACGCGCCACUGAGAAAGUCUCAUUGUGGCCAAAGAUUCAUUCAUUUCAUCGUGGUCAAGCCAAUACAUUUGUUUUAAUUGUUCAAUAUUAGUAAAAAUAUUAACGCCGAACUCAACUUAAUGUAUGUUUUUUUCCAGGCGUUUUACUUUUAUACUCAUUGAAUUUACCAUCCAUUGGUUGAUUUUUAGCUGAUUUCAAAUUAGAAGUGAUCAGAAAUAUAAUUAUUUAGUAAAUGGGAUGGAAAAGUCCAAAGAACAAUAUAACUAGGGGGAAUAAUAUUUUGUUAGGCACAUUCUUACGCUACCAUGCGCUACACACAUGACAAAUGGGCCAAAUAUGGUGAUAAAUCAACAACACCAGUCAAAUUAGUCAGUGCGACAUUACAGAAUUCCCUCAGUGACCCGCCGACCUCUGUGAAACAGACGGCGUCUAGCGGACAUCAUGCUGGUCUGAGAGUACUGCCUCGGGUGUUACCUUAUCCAACACACACACGCACACACACUUUCCCCUGGCUGUGUCCUGGGCAGCAUAUGGCAGACCUUGAGGUUCAAGGACACCAGUAUUUCACAGAUUUAGGAGAUUCAUCACUGACAAACACACAUUCUUCUCAGGCCUUUCUCACACACACACACACACACACACACACACACACACACACACACACACACACACAACCCCACGGACACUACAUACAUGAUGAAAAGACAGUGUGAUGCCUGGAGGUGCGUAACACCGGCUUACCGAAAGGACCCCAGAGGAAGAGCUAAACACAGCAACACACAUGAAAACACCUCGUCUCUGCCGUCGACCUUGUUCUAAGUUAUUUCUAGUACGGCACUGACGCUUAAAUUUAUCUUUGACAGUUUACAUUAAACACAAUGUAGGAUCUCAUGUUGUUUUUAUCUGUGCCAGAGUGGAAGAGAGAAACAAAUAUUGAAAUAUGGAGAAAUACCGUACAUGGUAUUAAGUGUUGAUCCAGAAAUACAAAAUGCAGCUUAUGUGACUAAGUCAAUACACAACUUGGCCGGCUCCUCUUAUUUAUCAGCAGCCCGGCCUUCUUGUCUCAGCCUGACAUGUUUGAAUAAUCCCGUUUGUGCUUCAGUAAACAUGGCUUCUAUCGGCUUCCUAUGCAUCGGAUCAAUCACAUAUGUCCGCACAGCACAGCAAAAGACACAAAGUGACACAAUCACUAAGGUAGAUUCAUAGAAAGGCUUAUCCAUGAUGUCUAAGUGUAGUUUGUGUGUGUUUGUUUUUUAUUUCACCUCUGCUAGUAUCUAGGGCUAAGGUAGAUGUAAGGUUAUUAUAUGACUAUGCUGAUUAAUUUGCAUCAGACCCAGUAACUAUGUAAAGGUGUGUGUGUGUG